rnacentral:miRNA from 1 species
CAUUGUCCUUGCUGUUUGGAGAUAA